AAAUAGAUACCCGGGUAGUCCACGCCGUAAACGAUGAGUGCUAAGUGUUAGAGGGUUUCCGCCCUUUAGUGCUGCAGCUAACGCAUUAAGCACUCCGCCUGGGGAGUACGGUCGCAAGACUGAAACUCAAAGGAAUUGACGGGGGCCCGCACAAGCGGUGGAGCAUGUGGUUUAAUUCGAAGCAACGCGAAGAACCUUACCAGGUCUUGACAUCCUCUGACAACUCUAGAGAUAGAGCGUUCCCCUUCGGGGGACAGAGUGACAGGUGGUGCAUGGUUGUCGUCAGCUCGUGUCGUGAGAUGUUGGGCUAAGUCCCGCAACGAGCGCAACCCUUGAUCUUAGUUGCCAGCAUUUAGUUGGGCACUCUAAGGUGACUGCCGGUGACAAACCGGAGGAAGGUGGGGAUGACGUCAAAUCAUCAUGCCCCUUAUGACCUGGGCUACACACGUGCUACAAUGGAUGGUACAAAGGGCUGCAAGACCGCGAGGUCAAGCCAAUCCCAUAAAACCAUUCUCAGUUCGGAUUGUAGG
rnacentral:rRNA from 1 species